AUGACCUGGACUAUGGAGCGUGUAGGUCUGCCUCCAAAGCUCUCUCCCUCUCCACCAGAUUCGCUGUGCCGGUAACGGAAAUGAACCUUUACCUCCUGACAAGGUCGUCAUCGAUUGUUCUUCUCGUAUAACUUGUUCUCUUCGCCUUUUCUCAAAAAUUCAAGAUCUGAGGUAAAACAAAUAAUGAAAGAGUUUCGGGAAGAAAUGGGUUCUGCUGAUAAGUUCUUAGAUUUCUAUUUUAGUAGGACGGACCAAUUUUGGAUCUACAUCAUAAGUAUGAGGUUGAACAACGUGGAUCUGAGGCUGGUGUUACGCGACAGGUAGGUGGUGAUGGAAGAGCGACAAAAGAUUCUUAUCAACAUGAUAUUUUUCAAUCGUUGAAUAAUUGCGGAGCUUCGCACAUAUUAUCAUUAAAAUUUAUCUCGUAUUACAUGAUUAUAAUUAAAACUUAUUACUUAAAUUUAAUAAAUUAUUUCAAUAUUUUUAUUAAA